rnacentral:rRNA from 1 species
GACAGGUGGUGCAUGGUUGUCGUCAGCUCGUGUCGUGAGAUGUUGGGUUAAGUCCCGCAACGAGCGCAACCCUCGCCUCUAGUUGCCAGCAUUCGGUUGGGCACUCUAGAGGGACUGCCGGCGACAAGUCGGAGGAAGGUGGGGAUGACGUCAAAUCAUCAUGCCCCUUAUGACCUGGGCUACACACGUGCUACAAUGGGCGGUACAAAGGGCUGCGAACCCGCGAGGGGGAGCGAAUCCCAAAAAGCCGCUCUCAGUUCGGAUUGCAGGCUGCAACUCGCCUGCAUGAAGCCGGAAUCGCUAGUAAUCGCGGAUCAGCAUGCCGCGGUGAAUACGUUCCCGGGCCUU